CUGCAUCUACUUGACGCCCAAAUCUGCCGGUCAGCAUAUGUUCAAAACUAAAGAGAUAUGCUGGGUUUUACCCAGACUCCCCCUUUCUGUGCAGCUGUUUCUGCCAGAGCAGACCAGCAGGACACCUCGCACUAUUUGUUUUUACCUGGAGUUCAGACACAACCAAACUGAGAUUUGCACUCUAAUGGAAAAUAUAAUUUCUGAGUUCAUGACCUGGAAUCAUGGCAAAAUCAGAGGAUCAUGUGGAAAGCUUCCUGGAGGAGAUCAGAGCUCAGAUCGUGUCUGGGCAGAGGAACCCUGGAGUUCUCCUGGAGACCUGGAACUCACUGACGCCACCAGACCAAGUGAGGGUUCUGCUUCAUGCUGUGGAAGGAGGAACAUCACAAUCCAGAGAAGCUCUUAACCAGAUAUUUUCAAAUCUGGGACCCGUCUUUGAAUCAGAACAAAUUCAACAGAACAACAUGAUGAUGGAAAACGAACAACCGUCAGAUGAGACACAACCUUCAACAGCAACAGAUGGCAAACUAGAAAACAUGGAUGAGCAAAAACAACGGAUGACAGAAAUAAUCGCUGACAUUAAAAACCUCUUGAAGGAUGCAGAAGUACAAAGCAGAGAGAAACUAACAGACGGAACAUCUACAUUUGACCUUUUGGAAACCCAACUUUGCCAAAUUCAGGAAAACAUGGAAAAUAAUUUUAAUGAACUUAAAGAAUAUUCAAUACAAGUCCAAUCUGAAAAAUCUCAGAUUGAAACAAUCAAAAUUAGGAUGAAAGCAGAUAGAUUAGACAUAGAGAGAAACAGGAAACUAAUUGAUACUGAAAUGGAUGCACUGAAGAAUACAAGAAAGACUAUUGAAGGUGAAAUGAAAGAGUUAGACAACAAGUUACAAAGAGUAAAGAGAGAAAUCAGAGAGAUGGAGUGGUGAGCAGGGAAGUCCAAAUGAAGAAAAUCGAUCUGGAGAAGAUGAUAAGAAGGAACAGGAAGAGAAAAGAAGACACAUCCAUUAAGACUGAGGAAGCAAGAAAAACUGUGCAAGACACAGAGGAAGAACAAAAGAAGACAAGAGAGGAAAGUCUGCCGCGGUUCCUGCACGUUUGUGAUCAAUGUAAAUCCAAGCAAAUGAAAUGGGUUUAUUUUCAGGCAAAGAAAAAGAGACGAGAGCUCGACUGUCGGUUAGAGAAGACAAUAAGACAGAGAGACGAGUUAGAAAUCACAAAGAUCCAAAUACAAAAACAAAAAGAAGACGUUGAAAGACAAAAACAAGACGUCAUGACUUCAGUCCUUACGAUGGCCAAAGUGAAGGAUAACAUGGAAAAUGGAUAUGAAGAAAUCAGAAACCUCAUGGAGGACGUGCUCAGAAUCAAAUCGAGUAUGGCAGACUACAGCAGAGAAUUAAAGAAAUACCAGGUAAGUGUUAGUGUUUUUCUUAAUGUUUUUAAAGUUACAGUUGUAAAUGUAAAAUCACCAAUAACCAGACCCAUCUUUACUGUGUUUUGUGGAUUGAAGAAAAAAAAGGGCUGAACUAUCAGUACUGUUAUAAGAAGAAAAAGGCCAAUGUGAAAUCUUAGCAGCC
rnacentral:lncRNA from 1 species